ensembl:snRNA U1 U1 spliceosomal RNA
AUACUUAACUAGCAGAAGAAAUAUCGUGAUCAUGAAGGUGGUUUUCUCAGAGCGAGAUUUAUUCACUGAAUAGCGAACGCGCUGAUCCCUGCGACUUCCACAAAUGUGAGAAGCUCCACUGCAUCAUUUGUGGUAGUGAGGGACUGCGUUCGCAUUUUCUCC